rnacentral:rRNA from 1 species
GACCAGACUCCUACGGGAGGCAGCAGUGGGGCCUCUUGCACAAUGGGGGACACCCUGAUGCCGCGACGCCGCGUGCGUGAAGAAGUCCUUCGUUAUGUAACGCUCUAUCAGCAGGGCCGCCAAUGACGGUCCCUGAGUAAGACGCCCCGGCUAACUCCGUGCCAGCAGCCGCGGUCCUACGUAGGGGGCCCGCGUUCUCCGGCUUUACUGGGUGUACCGGGAGCGUAGACGGCAGUGCAAGUCUGGAGUGAAAGGCGGGGGCUCAACCCCCGGACUGCGCUGGAAACUGUACGGCUGGAGUGCAGGGGAGGUAAGUGGAAUUCCUAGUGUAGCGGUGAAAUGCGUAGAUAUUAGGAGGAACACCAGUGGCGAAGGCGGCCUGCUGGACUGCAACUGACGUUGAGGCCCGAAAGCGUGGGGAGCAAACAGGAUUAGAUACCCGUGUAU